CAAUUUUCCCCCGGUGGCUUUUUGGAUCCGUGACAGAUUCUCACCGUGACGUUUCGUCGUCGUGAGCUUAAGGAUGACCGUCGCCGUCCGUAUAGAACUCGUACGUGCACUCUGUUUAAAUUAUUUGGAAUUGCGAAAACAUUAUCAUUUUGUCAUAGGUGCGUUUGUAUUGUACAGCACUGGAGCUAUUCGAGGAUACUCGGACAUUUG